rnacentral:lncRNA from 1 species
ACACACUUCAUACUAGAUAAUAGAAAAAAUCAAAUAAAUCACGAAAUGCUCAUAUUUGUGUGUCAUACUUCGCGAAGCCGUUACAACUUCCAUCUCUAAAGGCAGAUACAGAUUUCUAACUACCUAUGUGAAAUUACCAGAUCAGAUACAAAUAACGGCAAUUUACUCAGGCACAUUUCUAGCUUGCCAAACCAUGGUACGAUUUAUGACCACAGUUCUACCAAUAUCAGUUAGCCAAAGAUGACCCCUAACAGAUAUUCGUGUCACCACUCUUGUUAGAGGGUUUGCCGUAAUCCAUAGGGGGUCUUUCUAGACCAGAUAGAGGAGGGGAAAC